AUGGCGUGCGCGCACGGCGGCGGCCGUGCGGACCCCGAAGGCCGGCAUCAUCUUGGUAGCGGCGUCCCUCCGGGCGCCACCGGCACUGCCCUGGGACAGGGGCAGAGCUUGGAGAUGAUCUUCCCGUCGUGCAGCGCUCCCCCAGAUCGGCACAACAAGAAGAUGUGCGUCCUUAGUUCCUUCAACUGCAAGGACUUUCUUGACCAUCGUUGGUGCAUGAAGUCAUGCUCCUCAUCUUUAAGAAUUACAGAGUUGGUUCUUGGAUAUGUAAAAUGUUGUUGGGAGGAACAGAUAGUAGAUGUUGCCAGUUACAGGAGGUUCAGUGAUCAGAGGGGUCAAUGGACUAUUCAGCAUAAAGGAUGCGACCAAGAUCAGGAAUGGGGGCUAAACAGGUCGUUUGAUGAGAGUGUCCUUCUCUGGCACAUUGCAAGGGACUUGUGCUUCUACCAAAAGGCCGACACAUCAGCUUGUCAUGUAAAGGCCACGGGAUGCAGAGAAAUUUCCAACUACAUGAUAUACAUACUGUUCGUCAAGCCUGAGAUGCUAUUGCCUGGCACGAGACGGAAUCUGUUCAAGAAUGCCAAUGCUGAACUGGAGAAAAUCCUCAAGGACGACAAGCCAUCGCUAAUGGCGAUUCUCAAGGGAAAUAAGCCACUCCUCAAGUUCCUCAAGGGAAAAGGGCCAUCACCUGAGGAGGCUGAAAGAAGACUUGUGGACAAAAUAAUCGUCAAGUUGCGGCGCACAGAAUGCAGAGAGGAUCUAGGAUGCACGGAACCGCCACCGGAUUGA
rnacentral:rRNA from 1 species